UAAGCGCUGAAGGCAUCUAAGCGCGAAGCCCACCCCAAGAUGAGAUUUCCCACGCGAAAGCGGUAAGACCCCUGGAAGACUACCAGGUAGAUAGGCCAGAGGUGUAAGCGUCGUAAGGCGUUUAGCUGACUGGUACUAAUAGGUCGAGGGCUUGAUCUU
rnacentral:rRNA from 1 species